UAGGCUUGGCAAAAAAGUUUGUUUGGGUUUUUCUAUAACAUCUUGCAGGAAAACCUGAACAAACUUUUGGCUAACCCAG
ensembl:miRNA bta-mir-2284z-1 bta-mir-2284z-1